AGCCCAGGGACUCUGAAGCAAGCUGCAGAGGGAACUCCAGUCUGUUGCGGCUGAUCGGGACUUGUGAAUCUCACAGCAUCUGUAUAGUCUCACCCAGAGUCUGCCCAAAAGCUGCCUGCAAGCCCUUUGCAUCUUUACCGAAGGCCUUCUGGGAGCUUCUGAGACACCAACUCAUAGCACAUGCCUUUAAAUGGGGGUCUGUUCAGAUACCCACAUUCCUCGUGUCUACACAAAGCCAUUAGAGUCUGUGGACUUUUCCUACAGGUAGUUCUCUGAGCCUUUAUUUAGGAUUAUUCUGAAUAGUUAGAAAAAUGAAUCAAGGACUUUAGUCCAGGCGAAGAGAGGUGGCAGGUCAUUAAACAAGAUUCACCUAUGGACACCAAAGGGCUCAGUCCACUUCUCCACUGUAGCCUUUGAUAAGUUACAAAUGUCAUUGUGCUACGGAUGGAGGCCACACCAGACAGAGGAAGGUCACUGGAAUAUAAAGCUACCUGAGACGUCAGAACCCUGGUCUCUGGUGCAGGGCAAGUGGCACUUGUGUCAGAGUAAGGAAAGGUCAGUCCUUUGAGGUCUUUAUCUGUCUGAUAGGCCUUCACCUUAAUGGGGUUGAGUUUCUCUUUGACUUCUUAUUGGGGCUGAUAAAGUUUGUGUGCCAGCGAGCUGUUAUGUUUACAAGCGACCCACAGACUCUGCAGGGAGAAACUCAGUGGGAGCUGGGUAGCCAAGAAGCACUGCUUGUCUGUUUGCCACCAAGACCCCUUCUUGUGCACUAAGGGCAAGCAUUUACCGGAAAGUCACUUUAAUUGGGAAGUAAACGUGUGUGUUAGUCAGUUUCCCACAACUACAACACAUUCCUGAGAUCAUCAGCCUAUGAAAAGACUUCUCUUGACUUUUUUUUUUUUUUGAGAUGUCAGUGUAAUAUUGAUUGACCCAUGGUUUCUGGACCGCAGCAAGGCAGCACAUGAUGGUGGAAAUGCAUGCAAGGCAGAGAAAACCCUUCCAAUGGCUGGGUGCAGACAAGUCAGGAAGAGCCUGGAGUCCAUAGUCCCAUUAAGAGCACACCUCUAAUGAUGACCCUUAGGCCUCACCAUUUCCAGUCUCUGCCCCUUCCCAUUAGUGCUCAGCUGGGGACGGAGCAGUCACUGUCAUCUUAAGGGUCAUGGUGGUCUUAAGGAGGUAUUUACUAUCUAAACUGUAGCAGCUUAGGUCUGUGUUUGCUGGCAGAAUAGACCCAUUCCUGUCCCAUAGCUGAGGACUUGCAGUCAUCACAAGGGGACUCAAGGCCUGAGAGUGUCCCCACACAUCUGUUCUCUUCUGCCCUAUAGCUGGCAUUGCAAAUGAAAUGGCCAGUCAGUCCAAUGGUCACGGCUUUGAACAUGGAAAGAACUUUUAGGGAUUGUCCCCGCUGGGCUUCCCAUCGGAGCGUUCAAAGCUGUCUGCUUUUGCCUGGUGUCAUCGAGGUGAGCAGGCCUCACACUCCCUGGGAUUUAUCUGAAGGCACACAUUUUGCUCCUGGGGCCUCCCACAUUGGCCCAGGUGGUUAGCCAGUGUCACAGUAUUCGCAUUUCCUGCUUCAAGAAAGUUUCUCCAUCAGUUUUUUUUCUUAAACUUGUGGUCUGAGGGUAUGUAGUUCAUUUCUAAUCUUCUACACACUGCAGAGAGUUCACCUUUUAAAAGGAAUCAUAUUUCCAAUCCCAGACAGGAUGGAGCAAUCUGUUGGGUUUGCUUUCUCUACUUGGACGACUGGACCGGAACACCACUCAGUGCAGGUGUCGGAUGUAAGACCAACAUUCGCUCUGACUUUCUGUCUGGGAAUGCCUCCUGAGCCUUGGCACAGAGGAGCAGAGACCACGAGAGAGCCCAGCAGAGGUGGGCGGGGCGGGGGCAGGGAGAAUUGAGCAUGCCGAGGUUGUUAGCAUUCGUGGUGAAGUGCACUGGAGAGAGAGAGAGAGAGAGAGAGAGAGAGAGAGAGAGAGAGAGAGAGAGAGAAAGGACAGUUCUGAGCAGGGAAAACAAGUGAGAAGUUUUUGAACUGCAGCCAUGGAGCAGAGUAAACACCAAGCUGUGUUCCCUCCGAGACUGGACCCGGAUUGCGGAAGGGAGCUGUGAGCAGGGAAUCAGGAGAGGGUAGAACCACACUGCUGACUCUUCUAACCUGCUGGAGUAGAGGGACCUACUGUACUCUUGGUCACCUACUUGGAGCCAUGGCGAGCUAAACACACCCCUUCUUAGGAGUUAGGUCUUAUGCCAGUCAACUGAAUAGUCCCGAUGAAACCCAAUAGUCUUUAGACAAAGUAUUAUCUGCUGUACCUACCAUACAAUAAAAUAAUCACGAGUUGAGAGGGCAAGGUGGUCAGGAGCAAAGAAAACUAGGUCAAUGGAUUGAUGCCAAAACCGUGCAAAGUGACCUGUAGGAGCUGACUCCAUGGGAUCCCUGUGGGUUGCCCUCCUGCCGUUAUGCUGGCACAAUCUUCCCCCACGUGUAUCAGACCCCCACCCCCCAGCUUUUCAGGCUCUGCUCACCUGUCCCCUUCUCAGAGAAGGCCAUCCCUAGUGCUGAGCAGGCUGUCCUUUGCAAAGCGUCCACCUGAGUAUUGCCAUUAGAGUUCCCCGUAGGGUCUAGUGAUAUCGAUGAGACAGCUAGUCAAAAAUAUUCAGUCACCUGACCAGAGGUAUCCAGCAAGCUUAGACCAGAAGUCCUGACUUUCCAUGAUGUAGCAUGAGGAGAAACGGGCCUCAUUUUUCAUAUGACACCUGCUCUCUUCUUGCUUUGGAAGUUUGGAAGUGUUGUCAGUGUGUGUCAGGCAAGUGCUCCACCACUGAGCUCCCCUCCAGCCCCUUCCACUGAGCUCCCCUUUAGCCCCACCCACUGAGCUCCCCUUUAGCCCCUCCCACUGAGCUCCUCUCCAGCCACUCCCACUGAGCUUCCCCCUAGCUCCUCCCACUGAGCCCCCUUCAGCCCCUCGCCCUGAGUUCCUCUCCAGCUCCUCCCACUGAGCCCCUCCAGCCCCUUCCACUGAGCUCACCUUUAGCCCCACCCACUGAGCUCUCCUCCAGCCCCUCCCACUGAGCCCUCUCCAGCCCCUCCCACUGAGCUCCCCUCAAGCCCCUCCCACUUUGAUUUUCGAAAUUUCACCACCUCCUGACACAUCAUACAUCUGCUUUUUGGCCCUCUCUAUCUUUGGAACAGGAGAAUGAGGAUUUGUCUUUGGCUGUUGACCACCAUGGAAUCUUUAGUACCAUGGCUGUGGCUGGAACUUAACAGUAGCCAAUAAAUAUUUGUUCCGUGAAUGAUUGCAACUAAAAUGUAGUGCCCACGGGUGCAGACUCUGGUAAUAAAUAUUCCUAAAUGAAAAUACUCAGCAUGGCAGCUUUGCUUUACCCUAUUUUGAAAACCUGUGUAACCAUGAAAGACCAUUUUUAGUUAAAGGUUUUUGAGGGGUUGAAGACAUAGCUCAGAGAUGAGGGGCUCACAUUUGUCUUGCAAAGGACAAGUUCGGUUCCUGGAACCCAUGUUGGGUUUCAUGGGUAACUUACAGCCAUCCGUAACUCUGGCUCCACGGAUCUGGGAUUCUCUUCUGGUCUCCAUGGAUACCUGCACUCACAGGCACAAACGUGCAUAAUUUUUACUCUUGAUAUUGUUGGGAUAAGGGUAGAGUUUAGUGGUAUGGUGCUUGCCUAGAAUAUGCAAGUUUCUGGGGUUUGGUGCCCAGCUUCCCAAAACAAGUAAAGAGAUUUGAUAUUGUUUUGAACAUUAAGGUAGCACAUGUCUGUCAGAUGGACACUUGGGUGCCCCACCAUCUUUUGCAAAGUACCUUCUGUACAUGAUGUAAGUUACCUGUGCAAAGCUACACAGAUGAGCUAAAGCCAGCGUAUUCUGUAAUGGGAAAUACAUCCUGUUACGGAGUUUCCACACGGGCUAUGUGGCAAGGCAGUCUUUGGAGUCUGGUGUUUAUAAGAUUUUACAUUUGAUAGGACAAGUUUGGGAAGAGUGGUCUACGUGUUCAGGGUCUGUUAGGGAGGCAAGAUGGAUGGGGAUAGAGAUUGGGACCAGCCCAGCAUCAGUCAGACCUGAAAUGUCUCGAAAGGCUGAAGAAGGGCCCUGCUAGUCCUAGGACUAAGGGACUGACAGAUCCAGAAGGAUCCAGACAGGAUAAAAAUGAAGUGCAGGGCUCCGCAGGGACCUUGGGCUAGCCUGAUUUAAUUGUCAGGGUCCAGCAUAUUUAACAUAAGCCACCUAGAGAGGCAGGAUACCCGACUGGAGAUGUGAAGGCAGAUUUUCCUAUCUCCAAUAGGAAUCCAUGUCCAUAACACUGGCAGAUCCAUCGCCAGAAGAAAGACUAGGCUUUUGUAUGUAGGAUCUCACUGUCUCAAACAGUGAGUCUCAAAACAGACAAGGGGAAAAAAAAUCCUCCUCCAUCUGUUCCAAUGAAGAAACAGGCAGAGAAAGAACACGUGGAUCUCCAAGUUUCCUCCCAUAUUAGGUGGUAAAGCUGGCAUGGAUUCCGGGUCUUAGAAACUCUAAACUGGGGAUGGAUGGGGGCGUAGCUUGGUGGUGGAACAUUUGUCUAACAUUUGUGGGGCCCCAGGUUGGAUCCCCAGCGUUGAAAAACAAACAAAACAAAACAAAACAAAAACCCCAGAAUUCCAAAAGCAAGCACUCUCUCUUGGAGGCUCCAGCUGAGGUACAUUUUCUGUGGAACAAGUUCCCCUAGAGGAGCGAUAGACAGAGAAAACUGGAGAACAACGCCUUAGCCUGCUAACGCGGUUGGAGGUUCCUACAGACGUGUUCCAAGGCAAGAACGAAUGACAAGAAUAGUGACUUAAAACGAUCUCCUUUGAAGGUGCGUGAACAGUAGCAGACACGCAUUCAUGCUGCUAUCAGUGUUGGGCGGGGGCUCUGCUUUUAUGAACAGCUCUUCGGGCAUCACCUUCCUGGUCUCCAGACCAUCUAAUGCUGACAGGAGCCGUGAGUAUCACUGACACCCGGAAUGACAGAGGUUACAGGCGCUCUUACCUGAGGCGCUUUCUCUGUUUACAGGUGUCAUUCUGGGUGUCAUGUGGCUAGGGACCCAGACAAAGUCACCUGGAGGCAGCUUAGAGCAUUCCCUCCGAGGUUGAGGUUAAUCCUGAUGUGACUGCUUGUCCUAGUUGGUAUAUUUGUGUUUGGGGAAGAAAGACUUACCCCUUAAUGUAAGUGUUUCCAGAUCAUUUACAAUGUGUCCACUGAGACAUGCCUUCUUCCCAUGGGUAAAUUAUUAUUUAGCAGAAUAGACCACGAUGUCCUCUCUUACAUCUCACUCAAAAACACCCCAAAAUAAAACAGAAACAACCCUCCCAAAAACAACAACAAAAAUAAAACCACUGUCCUUUUUCCCUACAUGAGACUUUUAGAGGUGAGGGUAGUAAACAACAUAGAUUAAAAAAAAAACUAUAUUAUUUGUGUGUGUGUGUGUGUGUGUGUGUGUGUGUGUGUGUGUGUGUGUGUGUGUGUGUCUGUCCACAGAAGUCAAAAGAUGAUCUCUUAUCCCAUGAUACUUGACUCAGGGGCAUUUGUGAGUUUCCCAACACAGAUGUUGGGCAACAGACUCAGGUCUAAUGCAAGAGUGGUUUGCAUUCCAAUCUCAGAGCAAUCUCUCCAGUCUUAGCACAGGUUUCUAAAUCAGGGAAAUCUCGUAUCCUAGAAGCAAGCACGUGACAGGGUCAGGGUAGCUGGUCUCUCAGCCCCCUGGUGAGACCCGCUGGUCAGAAGGUCAUCAGUAAUGACGUCUUGAGUCUAUUCCAAGUAUCCUCUCAUUCAGCCUUGCUGUGGCUGACUGUGGUCCCCAGGGCUUCCUACCCUGGCUGUUUGGUCCUUGGGAUGGUGCUGUUGGAAGAUAUUUGAAACUUAAAGAGAUGGGGCGUCACAGGAAGUUGACAAGUCACUGGGGAUGCUGCCCUUGCCUUUGAAGGGGAUCAUGUUAUUCUUGUGGAUUUUUAUAAGAAUGGGACAUUGAGAGAGGAGGCCUGGCUUCUGCUCCCUUUCAGGCUUCCUGUCUCACCAUGUGACCUCUCCAGAUAUGCCAUCUGCUGUGAGACCUUUGGGAGAGAUUGAACACAAGGGCCACUCAACCUCAGAUGGUCUGCCUCUGAGAGUGUGAGCGUCCCAGAUGGAUAUGUGUCUAUGGGCACACACACAGGCUGUGGGAGGCUGGUUGUCUGUGUGCAGUUGCGGGAGUGUCGGGUCAGGACUGACUGAGCUAACUCACACGGAUGGCAACAGGUGUAUUUCAUGUUUUUGUACUGUCUCAGGGUUGGGUGGGAGCGGGGUUGGGUGGGAGCGGGGUUGGGUGGGAGGUCUCGGACAAGUUGUUCUGUGCUCAGCCCCUCCUCUGGUUUAAAGAGACAGAGGGGCUGUUUCUGGUGUCUCCACUUUGGGGAGCCUGGUAGCCAUGAACUAUCACAGGGUAUCUCUGGGCCAUCAUGAAGUAGCAAUUGACUGAGACUCCUCUCUGCCUCAGCCCCUGCCUUCCUCCAUUUGGAAGCAGGUAACGUCCCAGUGAAACUGAGAGCUUCCUCCUUCUCCUUGGGAAGAACAAAGGUUUACUUCUUCAGCACAGACUUGUACAGUUCAAGGUAUGAGAACAAUGUGCUCUUGUGCCCUUGAGCCCAGGGGUGGGAUUGCUGUUAGGUUCAGAUUUUGUUGAACAUGACUGGCUCCCUGCCUCCCCGCCAUAGAUUCUUGAAGGCUCUGGGUUCAUGCUGUGCUGCUGGAGCACUAGUCCACUUGGGAAGACAGUGGGGACCUGGUGGUGGUCUCUCUGGCCUCUAGCUCGUGAGAGCUCUAGACAGGUAGCAGGAUUUCCCACAUGGGACAUGUUAUGAACUCAGAUGGCCAGAGUUAGGGUUCCUGUGAUAGAUGAUGUCUUUGUUGUCCCUGAGAGAUGAAAUGUGGGCAUUAAAAGGGGCAGAGGCUAUCACAGCUGAAUAGCCGCCAGCAUCACCAGUUAAUAGCAGCAGAUAGGGGACUGAGCAGUGAUGCACGCAGCAGCCUGGGGGAGCGUUGGAAGCGUUGUACUGCUGAGUGAACCGAGUCCCAGAAUGUUCCACAGUGUACCAUUCCAUUUUUGUGACAUUCUGGAGAAGACAGAAUGUGAGUGACGGAGAACAGAUCCAUGGUUGCCAGGGGCAGGAGAGAGGUGCUGUGCAACCCUGAGUGAACAGACGGAGGAAGUGUUUGGGGAUGAUGGGACGCUUAUAUACCCGUCACCACCCAGCCAGGUGGUGGCCACGUGACUCUGCAUGUGACAGAACUCGUGGUGCUGAACAUCGAGAUCAUUUGGAAAUAAAGUAUCAGAAGAGCAGGUGUCAUCUGAAUGCAGUCACCUCUGGCUACGGCCCCUCACCCCAUAAGUCACCUCAUGGUAGCAACUUUCAACUCGGGGCUCACUCCGUUAUGUCAGCAGCUUCUGGGUUCACUCAAGAGUAUGAGCCGGUUUCCUGUUGUAUGAAAACAAACGGCAGAGUUGCGCCUCUGCUCCAGACUUGCGCCUCUGCUCCAGACUUGGCCUGGAAGACAAAGGUGUGGAAGAUUCUCCUGGGGUAAACUGACUUCAGGAAAAGCUGCAGCUGCCCACAGAGCCGCUGUGAUGUGCUGGCUGCUUUUCUCUGCAGACAUCCUGCCAGACCCAAGAGAAAAAUACUUCCGGAAUUCUGGAAGGCUCUCAGCCUCACUCUCCUUGGUCUGAAACCAGCCCAGGAGAUGUAACAGCAUCAAUUGGAUUGAUCAGCUCAAGCCUGAGCCAUCGACUCCCAUCUCAGGCUACACCGUGUAUUAAGAGUGUGGCCUCACUAGAUUCUUACGGAAUCCAGGCUCUCAACUUAGUUUCCAGUUCUGCUCAAAGCAUGGUCCCCUUUGCCCAGCGGUGCCUAAGAGUAGAACAACAUUUGAAUGGAGGGAAAAUAAAAUGACCGUUAAAUCCAUCA